UACGGGGGGAGCAAGCGUUGUUCGGAUUUACUGGCGUAAAGGGCGCGUAGGCGGUCAGCACAAGUCAGUUGUGAAAUCUCCGGGCUUAACCCGGAAAGGUCAACUGAUACUGUGCGACUAGAGUGCGGAAGGGGCAACUGGAAUUCUUGGUGUAGCGGUGAAAUGCGUAGAUAUCAAGAGGAACACCUGCGGCGAAGGCGGGUUGCUGGGCCGACACUGACGCUGAAGCGCGAAAGCCAGGGGAGCGAACGGG
rnacentral:rRNA from 1 species